ACUGCAACACAUUUUUACAGCUAGUAUUAGUCAAUAACUCAAUACUCAAUAGACAGCUAGAUAGGAGUAUAGGACACUAAAUUGUGACUUAUCUGGAUGAUUUCAGCAGCCUCCCAUCCAUGAGCACACCAUACCUCCAGCUGGUGAUUACAAUACAAGUGGAUAGGACAAUAAUAGAAGUGCACAACACAAUUUAUAAAUAAAGCACAGCACAAACACAUAGUUCUUAGUUCAGGUCUCACAAAUAAUAAAAGAAGGCACACAGACACAUAAACAAGGUGACACAGCUGCAGUCCAUAUCAUAUUUCUUCUUCACUGUAGUCCCUAUUCUCAUCUUCAUACUCUUCUUCUUCAGACUCAAAUUCUUCUCCUUCAUAGAGCUCUCUCACUCUUGCACUUCUACGCCUCUCAAGCUGUUCAUCUGCUCCCACUGCCUCUCCAAUGACAGACCAAGGUAUCCCUGUACCUUCCAUCUCAUCUUCCUCCCCAUCUCUAAAUUCAACCAAUGCACAAUCAUCCCCAC
rnacentral:lncRNA from 1 species